rnacentral:rRNA from 1 species
UACAGAGGUCUCAAGCGUUGUUCGGAAUUACUGGGCGUAAAGGGCGCGUAGGCGGCCUGUUAAGUCGAACGUGAAAUCCCUGGGCUCAACCCAGGAACUGCGUCCGAUACUGGCAGGCUUGAAUUCGGGAGAGGGAUGCGGAAUUCCAGGUGUAGCGGUGAAAUGACGUAGAUAUCUGGAGGAACACCGGUGGCGAAGGCGGCAUCCUGGACCGAUAUUGACGCUGAGGCGCGAAAGCCAGGGGAGCAAAGCGGG